GGCUCCGAUUGUUAACUCCAUACCUUGCCAAAGAUCCACCCCUGACCAGGAUAUUGCACACCCUGAACCAGAGAACACAGCAGUUCAAAAUGUGCCCCAAAGAACUGCAGGCAGACAUGAGAUGGGCACUUCUUGCUGCUGGCUCACACGCACUGGAAAAAUGGCGCCCCUGAGCUUCAACAAAAGAACAGGAUGUUGUUGAUUUGUAACCAAACCAGAGAGGAAAUGAUUGUAAAUUUCCUUUUAAACAUCCCACUGUCUGCUGGCCUCCCUCCGCCCCUCCACAUGCACAAGAGAAGUCAGCAAAGACAACAUUUUCCAAGCAGGGUUUGUCCCAGGUAACUAGCACCUUGGACCGGCCAUCUCUCUUCUCUGUAUUAGCUGGUUCCAUUGCUGUGAAUGGGGAACUCGAUCAGUAAUCUGCAAUAUAAUACGAAUGUACUGUACCACCUGGUAGGAGAAGAGGAAUUGUGCCUAAUGUUUAGCGUGCAGAUCUUUUUUUAUUAAAAAUAAAUAUUGCAGGCAGUCUGUAAUUACAGCGCUGAAGGCUGAUUUUCAACUUUAGGUAAAUCCUGUUUUUAAUAUUAGUAAUAUGGCUCUAAAAGGCAGUAAUUAGUUUUACGUUUACAGUGACUUAAACAGUUUAACUAUAGUACUUUAUUCUGAUUUCAGAUGCUUUGUUUAUUAAUAAAUUAUUUAUGUUAAAAGUAUGUUUGUUAUUCCCCAAGUUCUGUUAUUAUGUAAGCAAUGUUUGGAAUUCCAGAUACACCAGGUAAACAUAAAUAAUAAAAGUACUGUAGUCAAUGGAUUAUAGAUAAUUAGAGAAUUAUAGACCAAAUAAAGCCACUUUUUAAAAACAAACUACUAAUUUAUUAUGUAGAGAAAUCACAAGUCAGUUUCUAUUACGCUGACCACCAUCCUUCCUCCCAAUGUGACUGAAUUAACUUUAUGGGCUGUGAGUUGGAGAGGCGAUUUCUACGUUUGGAAAGGUGCCAUGUUUGGUGGUGGGAACGGCAGUGUUGUGCUCAGCAGGUGAAUGGUUAGUAUAAAAUAAAUGAACAGAAUAAAAAGUAUUUGGAAAUUACACUUAUCCUUUUGCAUGCCAUAAUUCCAAUGCAAAUUAAUAGGAUUAAAUGUGAGCUAAGGCUUAGUGCUCUUUAGAAAAUCUGCAUAAUACUCUUUUGUAUAAAUAAAGGGAUUUCACAGUUCAUUAUUUUUAGCGCAUGCUGUAUAGUUGCGAGCUAUUUGGCAGGAACACAUUCCAUUAUUCCAUAGCACCUGGGUAGGAGAAACAUGGCUGGUUGCUGUUUUCUCAGGAAUUUGUAGCAGUAAAUGUAGACAAGGCUGUCAAUUGUUACACUGCUUUAUGGGAAAAUAAGUGUAUGAGCAGAGUGGACAAUGGCAUAUUUUUCAUCAAACAAGUAGUCUUUGGUGCUACAAGGAGGCCGUGCAUUAUAGGGCCUAUAGAGAACUAUAAGGCCAUUGGCCAUUUUAAUAAUCUUCAACUGCACCACAUCCAGCAGUCUUCUGCCACCUGAUACUUAUUCCAGUGUCAUCUGCUGAUGUAAAUAUGUUUAUUUACCCUGUACUUGUCCUAUACUGUCAUCAACUGUAAGUUGCUGUUUUCCUGUUUGAUUAUUUGUUUAUGUAUUCUGUAAUUGGGCGCUGC